UGGAGAUUGCUCUUCUUGGAGUCUACUCAGUGACCCAGGACAAGGUGCUUUCUACUGGGCAAAAUGACCAUAUGUUUAUGGCAGAAUCUUACGAAUGAUGCCUCCUUUAAUGUGAGAACUCUGAUUUUUCUUGGAGCUUCUUCAAGAGCGUUGAAGGAAGAUGCCAGCUGGUCAAUGUGAUGGUGGCCUUUCGAGUACAAUAGGAACAUGAAAGAUAUGUUUUCUUUUCUCCUCAUUGGUGUUGCUGCUUUCUGUAACAGAGCUCUUGACAGCAAACUAGUUUUGUUAAAUUUUCUAAGCAAUUCUUUUCUCCUUUUGAAGGCUUUUUCUUCUUUCAGUUUUUUACAAUGUAAAAUCUGGUUGUUAUUGAUUGUAUUGAUUUUAAUAUAAUGUAGAUUAAUUUUUCUAAUAAUAUUAACCCUUCUGUUAUGUAGACUUCAACAACUUUGUAAAUAAUUCAGUGUAAAGGAUUACGUUAAAAUGCUGACCCUUUAUAAUUUAUUCUAAAUGCAAUAUGCCAGACACUUCAUAGGAACAGAGGAGGAAAAAAACUGGACACUUCUAUGGACACAUCUUUAAUGUAUAGUAAUGAGGAAAUUCUUAAUACAGAGGAGCAUGCUUUUUUUUUUUUUUUGAAGAAAAAUAAUGCUACUUUUGUGCUGAUUUCAUUUCUUUUAAAGAACUGUGGCACCUCUAAAAGGUGUUUCAGAGCAUAUGCUCACGUUAAAAGCUGUGACACCUUCCUCUCCAUGUAAUUAUUCCACUGACAUUGUUUUGCAUAGCAGAAAUAAAACCCAAAUGCAAUAGAUGAUAAAACUCAUGUGAAUAAUUUGUCCAACUAUAAGGAACAUAGCUGUUCUGAGAUUAUUAGGUAAUCAUAGAAUCAAAUAAUCACUUGAGUUGGAAGGGACUUUGAAAGGUCAUCUAGUCCAACCCCCCUGCAAUGAACAGGAACAUCUCAAUCAGGUUUCUCAGUGCCUGUCUGGUCUGUCUUUGUAAUUACAAGGAAAUGUCUCUUUUUGGUUUUCCAUAUCAUGUGGAGAAUGUUUCAACAAAGCUAGUGUUUGUUCCCGUAAACCAGCA